rnacentral:rRNA from 1 species
AUAUUGCACAAUGGGCGCAAGCCUGAUGCAGCGACGCCGCGUGGGGGAUGACGGCCUUCGGGUUGUAAACCUCUUUCAGUAUCGGCGAAGCUCCAGGAUUCUUCUUGGGGUGACGGUAGGUACAGAAGAAGCACCGGCCAACUACGUGCCAGCAGCCGCGGUAAUACGUAGGGUGCGAGCGUUGUCCGGAAUUACUGGGCGUAAAGAGCUCGUAGGUGGUUUGUCACGUUGUCCGUGAAAACUCACAGCUUAACUGUGGGCGUGCGGGCGAUACGGGCAGACUGGAGUACUGUAGGGGAGACUGGAAUUCCUGGUGUAGCGGUGGAAUGCGCAGAUAUCAGGAGGAACACCGGUGGCGAAGGCGGGUCUCUGGGCAGUAACUGACGCUGAGGAGCGAAAGCGUGGGGAGCGAACAGG